UCGCACGAGUUCAGACUCGUGGCGAAUAGCUCAGUAACACGUGGCCAAACUACCCUUCGGAGCACGAUACCCUCGGGAAACUGAGGCUAAUAGUGUAUACCAUACCACCACUGGAAUGAGUGGUAUGCCAAACGCUCCGGCGCCGAAGGAUGUGGCUGCGGCCGAUUAGGUAGACGGUGGGGUAACGGCCCACCGUGCCAAUAAUCGGUACGGGUCAUGAGAGUGAGAACCCGGAGACGGAAUCUGAGACAAGAUUCCGGGCCCUACGGGGCGCAGCAGGCGCGAAACCUUUACACUGCACGACAGUGCGAUAAGGGAAUCCCAAGUGCGCAGGCAUAGAGCCUGCGCUUUUGUCCACCGUAGGGAGGUGGACGAAUAAGGGCUGGGCAAGACCGGUGCCAGCCGCCGCGGUAAUACCGGCAGCCCGAGUGAUGGCCGAUCUUAUUGGGCCUAAAGCGUCCGUAGCUGGCCGCGCAAGUCUAUCGGAAAAUCCACCCGCUCAACGGGUGGGCGUCCGGUGGAAACUCCGUGGCUUGGGACCGGAAGGCGCGACGGGUACGUCCGGGGUAGGAGUGAAAUCCCGUAAUCCUGGACGGACCGCCGAUGGCGAAAGCACGUCGCGAGGACGGAUCCGACAGUGAGGGACGAAAGCCAGGGUCUCGAACCGGAUUAGAUACCCGGGUAGUCCUGGCCGUAAACAAUGUCUGCUAGGUGUGGCUCCCACUACGAGUGGGUGCUGUGCCGUAGGGAAGCCGCUAAGCAGACCGCCUGGGAAGUACGUCCGCCAGGAUGAAACUUAAAGGAAUUGGCGGGGGAGCACUACAACCGGAGGAGCCUGCGGUUUAAUUGGACUCAACG
rnacentral:rRNA from 1 species